rnacentral:rRNA from 1 species
CCUACGGGGGCAGCAGUGGGGAAUAUUGCACACUGGUGGAAACCCUGAUGCAGCGACGCCGCGUGAGUGAAGAAGUAUUUCGGUAUGUAUAGCUCUAUCAGCAGGGAAGAAAAUGACGGUACCUGAUUUAGAAGCCCCGGCUAACUACGUGCCAGCAGCCGCGGUAAUACGUAGGGGGCAAGCGUUAUCCGGAUUUACUGGGUGUAAAGGGAGCGUAGACGGCAAGACAAGCCAGAAGUGAAGGGGCAGGGCUCAACCCUGUACAUGCUUUUGGGACUGUGGUGCUAGAGUGCAGGAGAGGUAAGUGGAAUUCCUAGUGUAGCGGUGAAAUGCGUAGAUAUUAGGAGGAACACCAGUGGCGAAGGCGGCUUACUGGACUGUAACUGACGUUGAGGCUCGAAAGCGUGGGGAGCAAACAGGAUUAGAUACCCGAGUAGUC